GAACAAAUGCACAGAUAUUAGUUAUGGGUGUUUCUGCAACAGCAGCCUGGAAAGCAGGCAAUUUGUCCACUGUAACCAAAAUAUUUUGAGGUAGGGAGAUACCAUAUUUCUUUCUCUCUGGCAUUGCAUCCAAAUGGUUGGAUCAACUUCCAGAAAACAGGAGUCCGUUUUUCCCCCAAACUGUUUUCAAUAGCAUUUCUGAAGGAGUCUGGGAAAUAAAGAUGUAAUCUGUCUGGGAAGAAAACUCUCCCCAUGGUCGUCAUUUCCCUGACCUUUCACACUCUUACUCUUCUUUCUUGUAUUAUUUCUCAUCCUUCCCCCAACUUUUCUUUCUUUUAAAAUUUACUUUUUUGAAGCCAAUAACAGCUUUCCCACAAAGGUUAAGAGCUGGUUACUCAUCAUUUUGUGCCCUGAGAAAUAUUUCAUAACCAAAUAUUUAGGCCUUUUAUGACCCAAUGGGACAGUAAGGCUCCCUGAGGACCCAGCUCAGCUAGGAUGGCAGGAUUUCAGGCCUGGAUCUUCUAUUCGCUCAUCCCAGAGACUCACUGAAACACAGAAAUUCCUACUUUUGGUGUGGGGAUGAUGGUGGCAAAUGUGUUCAGUGAAUUGUGAGGAAAUGAGAGAAAUUAGAAAUUUAGAAAAUGUGAGAAAAGGACUACGUGGUCAAACUAAGCUGCUGACCUUAUAUUGAUUUAUACUUUAAUAGAUGGUUCUAAAAAUAUUUUGACAAUUGUAUUUCAGUAUAACUGGCUUUCUUUGUAAUCCUAUGUAUUUUAUUUUACGUAAAACAUAAUACUUAGAAGAGGCCUACUUAUACGUUUUACUAGAUUGCCAAAGGGGUCCAUGACGAAAAAAAGGUUAAUACUCCCUGCUUUUAUCUGUCAUCUGCCAAAUGUUGACACUCAUUCUACUGGUAAAGAUGAUCAAUGUUCAACACUUUAAGGCUUGCAAAGUGCUUUGCUAAAUACAUUAUCUCAUUUGACCUUCAACACAACACUAUGAGGUAGAUGCUAUAAUUAUCUCCUACUUAUAGGUGAGGAAACUGAGCCAUAGAGAAGUUGAAUGGCUUUCCUGCUGUCACAGAGCUAACAAGUAUCUGAAGAAGAAUCCAAACCCCCAUCUUCCUUACUCUUAAGUCCAAUGUGCUCACCUAUUAUGCCAUGCUGCCUUUCGAGAGGACAACCUACCCACAUCUUCUCAACCACUAAGAUUCUUGUCCACGUGCUACCAUACACAUGGUAGGAUCUACCCAAUGGGCUGGAAACUAUGCUCUAAUUCUUUAAAACAAACAAACAAAAAAACUCAGUCUCCCUAUCUCUCCCUUGCUAGAAGAACAGGUUUGACCUACUCCAUUUCCAACCCUGGGCUAGUUUACCUUCUUUUAGACAAUCUAAUGGCUCCCCACUAGUGAGGGCUCACCCCUGUGGUGCUGACCAUAGUGCAGACACUCAAUCUGAAUAGCCCCUGGCACCUUAGGACUCCUGAGGUCGAGAGUUUGGCCAGGCUCUGCCUCCCUGGGCCCAGGGAUGUAGGCAUGGGCUAUUAUAUCCAGUGUGUGCAGCCCUCUUAAUGUUUCCUGCAUACCAGCAGAAGGCUAGGGCUGCCCAUCAGUUAUGCCUCACUCUUGCUACAUGACUGGUCCUCCUCCCUCUCUAGUCAUAUAUGUCCUCGAUGAGAUUUAUUUAUAGUUUCUAUUUCUAGUCAUCAAUUUAGGCUCUUUAUAGUUGUUCUUUAUGUUCAUUAAUGGACAUUAGUCAGUAAAUGAUCAUAUUAGUGAAUGGAAAAUCUGAUGUUGGGCUGACUUCCGCCACAAUUUCUGUUUCUCUCCUCUUUGUUCUUUUCCUCCUUUCCUUGCUUCCUACCCAUAAUGCCUUUCUACUCACAUGAUCCCUCUUAGUUCUAUCACUUCAAUUGUUGCCUCACUUACCUCUUCUAUUGGCUACAUUAUCCUUCUUUCCUCCUUGUUCUUUGAUUGGCUUCACAACCCCCACUCCCUUCCUUUCCCUUUCCUGGAACAAUCCCUCCCUUUUCUCUUCAAACUUUGUGGUUUACCCCUAAAUUUGAUUCCUGUAAGACCCAGAGUUGCUUUGGGUGGUCCUCCCUCAGGAAAGAAAUGGGUUACUGCUUGUUCUGUUUCCUGAAAGUCCAGAAGAUGACGUGUUAAAAUGAGAUCCUUCCAGCCCUUUCAAAUGAAAUUGUCAUCAACUGAAUGUCAAAAUUAGAAAUGGUGAGCCAACUAUGUGCAAACUCCAGUCUCUUUCUUGGCUGACUUCCAAGACAAUUUUGGCAUCAGCGAAGGGCAGAUUAUUUUAAGAUUGGUUUUGAGCUGUUAAAUCCUGCUUCACAUGCAACUGAAUAGCUAAUCCAGAUCUCGCAAACAAAUCAGUUGAACCUGGAUGGAUGAGGCAGAGUCCAGAAAUUAACCAAUUCCACAGCACCGGCUCUGAUAGAUUGGCAGAAAGUGACUCUUUCUUUUCCUACACCAUCUUCCAAGUAAUUUGUGUAAG